rnacentral:rRNA from 1 species
CCAAUAGCGUAUAUUAAAGUUGUUGCAGUUAAAAAGCUCGUAGUUGAAUUUCGGGAUCAAUAUAUCGGUCGUGCCAUCGGUACGUACUGGUAUCAUUGGUUUCUCCUUUCUGACGAACCAUGAUGUCAUUAAUUUGGUGUCAUGGGAAGUUAGGACUGUUACUUUGAAAAAAUUAGAGUGUUUAAGGCAGGCUUUAGCUUGAAUACAUUAGCAUGGAAUACUGAAAUAGGACGUUCGAACCUAUUUUGUUGGUUUCUAGGAUCAACGUAAUGAUUAAUA